UUAGGUAUGAUUCCAUGAGAUGAUUAUGUAAUAUACUAUCUCCCAGGCUUAUGGUCUUAUUGAUUUCACUUAUAUAGCAUUUAUCUUGAACAUCGCCAAUAAUAGUAUGGACAAGUAUAUUACAUAAUUAGGAUUAUGUAUCUUCAAAGUUAGAAUAUCUGAUUAAUUUGUGGUCUCUUGGUGUUAUAAUACAAAAUUACACACUAACAUUACUAGAACAAAAUUGAAUGCCCCUUAUAACAAGUCACAGCUCUAUGCUCAUUGUUACCUAAUAGUCUUAUCAUGUAAUUGUUUGUAAUGGGAUUUCCCUUUUCAUGAAUAAAAGUUAUGAGAUUUCCCUCAUAGGCUUCUUGUUCAGAGUCAAAUUAGCUAGAUCUAAAACCUCUAAGAUUGGUCUAGUGGUGAGGGAGUUGAAUAGUAUGCCCAGCUGGAGCUCAUAGGCUAUGUUGUCAAUAGCUUACUAUAAUAGAACAGUGUAGCGGUGGUAUUGUUAGGCGCGACGCUACUGGUCCGGGAACCACCGUCAACAAUAGCGGUUAUAGAGGCCGCUAAUUGCAGCUCCAUACCGCUAUCGCAGCCGCAAUUAGAUUUUUCAGGAUAAAUUCCUCAAUUUUUUUAAACCGUUGUCUUUUUUAAGGGUUUAAAUUACAACCUGAACCCUUUGAAGAGUAAUGUUAUGUCCUUCCUCAAUUUUUACUUUAGUUUUGUUUAGUCUUCUUCUCUGCCUAAGUUUUAUCACCAUAUCUUUAACUAUUAAGUAUGAUGAUCUCUUUAAUUUUGUGAAUAGGUCUACUUUUUAGUAUUUUUCGUUUACUUUGUAUAAUGGUUUUUAGUCUUUAGAAAAGCGGCUAUUCCACCAUCCGUUAUACCGCUAUAGCAUUUUAGGGGGUCGAUGCUAAGCAACUCAGUCCGAGAUAAACAUCAUAGGUCCUAGGCUCAGUCAGACAUCAUUACCUCUAGUGUUUCUUUUCCCUCUUUAAUUCACCAAAGUAAACUAAGCAGUUUAUUUGAAUCAAAAUACAGUUUAAAAUGUUAAAUGGUUUCCGAUUCUUUGCUGCAACAUUUUCUCAAAUUUAGUUAAUUGUCACUUUCUUGUUAUAUAUUCAGUUAUCAAUUGGAAUUCACCUAUUACAAUAAUUACUUAUUCAUUGAAUUAGACAUGUCUUUUAUAGUAGUUUUGAAUACAGAGGUUGAAAAUGCCAAACACAUGCCAUUGAGAUAUUUUGUGUUGACAACAGACUAUUCGUUUUCCCUUCCUUUGGUAGGAAGAAACGCACGAUCUCACCAAUUCUACGCGUUUCGACGGUGAUCUCACCGAUCCUACCCAAAUAUGAGUUUUCUCAUUUGCGGAAUUGGACUGUCCUACAAAAGGGAUUGCGAUUCUGACUACUAACUUGUUCAUAUUAUUAAAAAUAGAUUGAGGUAAAAGUCACAAAAAAUAUGGCUUGUUAGACUCUUCUACAAUUCAAUAUUUUUUUCCGUCUGUAACAUUUGUUGAUCAGUUUUAGUCUUGAGUUUGCCACAAAGUUCUCUCUUUAAUCCAUACAGAGAACUUGAAAGUUGAGUUUGAAUUUCCCAUUAAGCUUAAUUCUAUAUAACCUGAAGACCUAGGUUUAAUUUAUUUUAUUUAAUAAUUCAUUGCGUAUUUUAUGGAUUAUUUAUUUCAUAUGGGUGAUGCAAGCCAACAAUACAAGAUGAAUGAUGACAAAUGAUCCCUGAAGCUGAAAGAGUCAUUGACCUGCUUUUGUUUUUGUUCUUUGAAGUGAUGUGGGAUUUAGGUACUUGUACUUGUAUGUUCUUAAUGCCUAAUGUUUCAUGUUUUUUAACUUUCAUCUUUUACUCAUGAUAUGAUAUUUUCUAAGCAUUCAUAUAUACAAGUUUUUUUGGUUAGUUUUGAUUUUGUCCAAGGUGUAUCAUCUGUGCGAAGUAGAUGUUGAAAUAUCCUUCACUAUUUUGUUCAGUUGCCUGCAAAAUAGAAGGUCCAUUUUGUGAUGCUAGCCUGCAUGUUGUGGUGUAAUAAAAUUAUCUGGUGUAGAGGGACAAUGUAGAGCCGGUUCAAAAUGUAAUCAGGUGCACCCACAACUUGAUGGAUGAUAGCAGUAGACUAGGCAUUGCAGCAGAUGCGCUGUCAGUACUAACGAUAAUGGUUCGAAAAAGGCACCUAUUGUGAACCCAAGGGUGAUAUGUUGGUGAAGAUUUGAGAAUUAAGAGUAUGCUUUUUUUCAAGGGCUCGCGUGAUGAGCCAUGCUAUGCUAAUGUUUUGCCUUGAAUUACUCUCCAGCAGGUGGUCGGUGUUAAUAACUGGAUACCGAGUUUCCAUUUUAUCAAAUCCAUUUAUUAGAACUUCUUUGUCAUUUGAUCAAUCUUUGGAGAAAAUGCUUAAUGAAAGCCAACCCAUUUACAUGUAAUACUUAAGAAUAAAUUUAAGCAAAAAGAAUCUAUUGAAAGUCCUUAAACGUGUAGCAAUCCUGAAUUUAUUGAAA